rnacentral:lncRNA from 1 species
UUUUCCAUCCCUGCAACUGUCAUCUUUUUCUUCAAUCACCUUUCCCAUCUAGUAACCAAUCACAUUUCCUCUUUCAUUUCCUAGAUUGCAUUUGUCAUCCGACGAUAUAACCUCCUGAUUUCCCUUCUAGAUUAAAUCCCUAGUUUUCCAUCCUCAAACGGGAAGAAAAUUAGUUAAAUCUGAAAGUAACUUAAAACGAAAUCGAAAAAGCUUCUUGAUCUGCGGGCGAGGCCAUACGGCGAUAAGGAAAAGUGGCGAGAAGCUCUCUUCCCCUCCUCUGAACCCGAAAAGGAGCAACGGAGUCACGACCAUAAAAGAAAUAAGAAAAAAUCGUAUAAGUUUCAGGAGGCAAAAAGAAGUGGAGAGAUAGGGAGUUGCGGGUGAGGAUCUAAGACGACGGGGAGAGAGAACGGUGGAGAAAGACAUGAAAGGGAGAAGAGAGAAAAAGCUUGUCUCCCCCCUCUCUUUUGAGAAAGGGGGGAGAUCAGAGGUGGAAGAAGGGGUUUGCUCAGAGGUGGGAGAAGGUGGGUUAAUGUUUUUGUUUUAGUAAAAAAGUUGAAU